rnacentral:rRNA from 1 species
AUUGAACGCUGGCGGCAUGCUUUACACAUGCAAGUCGAACGGUAACAGGUUAAGCUGACGAGUGGCGAACGGGUGAGUAAUGCAUCGGAACGUGCCCGGUCGUGGGGGAUAACGCAGCGAAAGCUGCGCUAAUACCGCAUACGAUCUGAGGAUGAAAGCGGGGGACCGUAAGGCCUCGCGCGAUCGGACCGGCCGAUGUCAGAUUAGGUAGUUGGUGGGGUAAAGGCUCACCAAGCCGACGAUCUGUAGCGGGUCUGAGAGGACGACCAGCCACACUGGGACUGAGACACGGCCCAGACUCCUACGGGAGGCAGCAGUGGGGAAUUUUGGACAAUGGGCGCAAGCCUGAUCCAGCAAUGCCGCGUGCAGGAAGAAGGCCUUCGGGUUGUAAACUGCUUUUGUACGGAGCGAAAAGGCUCUCUCUAAUACAGGGGGCUCAUGACGGUACCGUAAGAAUAAGCACCGGCUAACUACGUGCCAGCAGCCGCCGUAA